GGCUUAGGGCUGGAGUUAAUGACAUCACAAUGUAGUCAUUUCCCAGGGGUUUCCUUCUUCAUUCAUCAGGGGCCAUAUUUUUUCAUUUGACAGAAAGAGCUGGAUAUUGAGGUGUAAACUCCCUUUGAGAGAAGCAGAGACAGGCUCACUGUAAGCAAUGGGUGACAAUCUCUACGCUUUUCUGAACAUGGGGUUUGAUAAAGGAAGAAGAGGAAACAUGAAGACAGUGAGAGCUUGUUAUAAAAGACUAAGUGAACCCUAAAGAGAGGGACUCAGUAAACAUUACCUAAAUUCAACGCUGAUUGGUUUUCAAGAGAUACAUUUUUCUUUCAACGUUCUUGUCUUCAAAGGCUAAUGGGAUCUGCUGCUCUGUUGGAAGCCAGAGUUAGGUCUUCGGGUCAGCCAUGGCUUCACUGAACUUGGCUCAAGAUUUCAGACCAGCUUCAGAUCUACUCUAUUUGGUUCAUUAUACUCCUUGAACCAGCAACCAACUAAGCCAUAUUCUUCUAAUUACACAUCGCAAGACCACAACAAGGUCAUGGCACCACUACAAAGACGCAGACAAAACAAUCCACAAAAACCGCAUUGAUCCAGAGAGUUCUCAAAAACUGCGUUGGCCUUUCCUUAGAAGAAAGAAGACACUGUAGCUCACAUCCAUAUAAGUAGAUGCAUUUAGUGCCCUAUUGUAAUAGCCUGGAUUAUCUACACAAUGAUUCUGAAAUGUGGAACAAAAUAAUUUGGGUCAAUGAUGAUUGAUUUUCUUUUCAGUCUUCUCUUUUUUCUAUUUAUA
rnacentral:lncRNA from 12 species